rnacentral:rRNA from 1 species
GACGAACGCUGGCGGCGUGCUUAACACAUGCAAGUCGAACGGAAAGGCCCUGCUUUUGUGGGUUUCUCGAUUGGCGAACGGGUGAGUAACACGUGAGUAACCUCCCCUUGACUUUGGGAUAACUUCAGGAAACUGGGGCUCAUACCGGAUAUGAGCUCCUGCUGCAUGGUGGGGUUUGGAAAGUUUCGGCGGUUGGGGAUGGGCUCGCGGCUUAUCAGCUUGUUUGUGUGGUAGUGGCUUACCAAGGCUUUGACGGGUAGCCGGCCUGAGAGGGUUAACGGCCACAUUGGGACUGAGAGACGGAGCAGAAUGCUACGGGAGGCAGCAGUGGGGAAUAUUGCACAAUGGGCGGAAGCCUGAUGCAGCAACGCCGCGUGCGGGAUGACGGCCUUCGGGUUGUAAACCGCUUUCGACUGUGACGAAGAGUGAGUGACGGUAAUGGGUAAAGAAGCAACGGCUAACUACGUG